CAACAACAGAGGGAGCCAGCAGGCACACUAAAAGGAGUCAGAGACAACAUGGCUGACUGAGAAAUUUAAGCAGAGUGGUUUCGGGUCUCUCCUUCACAAGAAUGGCGUGGCCUCUCCUACACAAGAGGGAUGGAGUCACCAUUGGGUGAAUGGUUUCAAAGAACCUCAGCCACUGCUGUACCUCAGGGGCCGUGCCUUGCAGCCCCAGACAUGCUCCCUGUAUCUGAUGUCAGAUGCGGGGGUGUGUGUGAUUUCGCUCCCAAACAGGGCUGCACUGGCAAA